GAUGAUGCCACUUGUGGGUGGAUUAGUGGCGAACGGGUGAGUAACACGUGAGUAACCUGCCCUUAACUCUGGGAUAAGCCUGGGAAACUGGGUCUAAUACCGGAUAUGACUCCUCAUCGCAUGGUGGGGGGUGGAAAGCUUUAUUGUGGUUUUGGAUGGACUCGCGGCCUAUCAGCUUGUUGGUGAGGUAAUGGCUCACCAAGGCGACGACGGGUAGCCGGCCUGAGAGGGUGACCGGCCACACUGGGACUGAGACACGGCCCAGACUCCUACGGGAGGCAGCAGUGGGGAAUAUUGCACAAUGGGCGAAAGCCUGAUGCAGCGACGCCGCGUGAGGGAUGACGGCCUUCGGGUUGUAAACCUCUUUCAGUAGGGAAGAAGCGAAAGUGACGGUACCUGCAGAAGAAGCGCCGGCUAACUACGUGCCAGCAGCCGCGGUAAUACGUAGGGCGCAAGCGUUAUCCGGAAUUAUUGGGCGUAAAGAGCUCGUAGGCGGUUUGUCGCGUCUGCCGUGAAAGUCCGGGGCUCAACUCCGGAUCUGCGGUGGGUACGGGCAGACUAGAGUGAUGUAGGGGAGACUGGAAUUCCUGGUGUAGCGGUGAAAUGCGCAGAUAUCAGGAGGAACACCGAUGGCGAAGGCAGGUCUCUGGGCAUUAACUGACGCUGAGGAGCGAAAGCAUGGGGAGCGAACAGGAUUAGAUACCCUGGUAGUCCAUGCCGUAAACGUUGGGCACUAGGUGUGGGGGACAUUCCACGUUUUCCGCGCCGUAGCUAACGCAUUAAGUGCCCCGCCUGGGGAGUACGGCCGCAAGGCUAAAACUCAAAGGAAUUGACGGGGGCCCGCACAAGCGGCGGAGCAUGCGGAUUAAUUCGAUGCAACGCGAAGAACCUUACCAAGGCUUGACAUGAACCGGAAAUACCUGGAAACAGGUGCCCCGCUUGCGGUCGGUUUACAGGUGGUGCAUGGUUGUCGUCAGCUCGUGUCGUGAGAUGUUGGGUUAAGUCCCGCAACGAGCGCAACCCUCGUUCUAUGUUGCCAGCGCGUUAUGGCGGGGACUCAUAGGAGACUGCCGGGGUCAACUCGGAGGAAGGUGGGGACGACGUCAAAUCAUCAUGCCCCUUAUGUCUUGGGCUUCACGCAUGCUACAAUGGCCGGUACAAAGGGUUGCGAUACUGUGAGGUGGAGCUAAUCCCAAAAAGCCGGUCUCAGUUCGGAUUGGGGUCUGCAACUCGACCCCAUGAAGUCGGAGUCGCUAGUAAUCGCAGAUCAGCAACGCUGCGGUGAAUACGUUCCCGGGCCUUGUACACACCGCCCGUCAAGUCACGAAAGUUGGUAACACCCGAAGCCGGUGGCCUAACC
rnacentral:rRNA from 1 species